UCUCAUAACCGGUUGAAAAUAGCUAUUAGUUAAUAAUAGGGUAAAUAGAAUUUGAUUUAGCUAAUAUUGCGUGUAUUUCGACUCCUAAAAAGAAAUAGUACUGUAGCAUUUUUUUUGCAAAACAGGAAAAUUUGUUGAGUUAUUUCUAAAAGGUUUUUUAGUAACACUAAUUGACCAAGGCAGUUCACAAGAUAGCGUAUAGCUCUGAAUAGACCAUUUCGGAGAUUAUGCGCCAUUAUGAAUUUGCGGAACUCGGUGGUGCAAGUUGAACUUUGGACUUCACGUUUAUUCAGUCAUUUGCCUUGCGAAACUGCUGGCGGCAGGACAGUUUUGAUUUUUGAUAUCUGUUUUUAUCUUUGUGAUACUAAUUUUAUGAUAUAUAUUUUGAAAAAAACUUUUAUUAGGCACUUAUUUGUACUUUUAAUUUCUUUUUGUACAAUAAAGGCAACUUAAUAUAUCCUAAAAGCCUUUAAACUAGCUAACUAGCUAGAGGUCUCCCAAAAAUGCUUUUAGGACACUGUACUGUAGCUAGCUAUAAGGCUGUAAUUAGUAAUUAAUGCUUGGUUAAAGAAAUACCUUACUGGAUUUGGACUUGAACUAUGUUUUUGGAUUUGUAAAGAAAUGUUUAGGUUGUAAUAUUUGUAAAGAUCUAGAGAGUUAUAAUCCAUUGUCAAAAUACUUGUCAAAACUCUAUAGUGUUAUUUAUUCCUAAAGUGAAACUUAAGCUCGCAAAAUAAUCUGGCUUCUUUUCUAUAACGGAUGUGAAAAUUUUCAAUACACUGCCCAUAGAGAUACGGUAACAGGUUCAGUCGCAGAUUUUAGGAAUAGAGUCAUGAGUCAUUUUAAUUGCAAAUAAUUUUUAUUAUUUUGAUAUUUUUAUAAUUUUGUUUCUCGGUGUAUGUUUGACCCUUGAUUCGUCUACUUAAACACUCCUAUCUUUGAGUCUUUCAAGAGUGUUAUUAGAAAGAAUACCUGUCUUUCUUCCCUGCUUUCGCUAUUGCCCUAUAAUUUUUUUGUACGCUUCUCUUAUUGAAAAAUAUCAAAAAGGGAGAAAUGAGUUUAGUUUACAGACUAAAGUGUUAUUCAAUUUUUUGUUUUUCUAUGUUAUUUGUUUCAGUCACAAUGUAUAUUUUACAUGAUUUUUUGUUAUAUAUAUACGUAUGUCUUUGUCGGUUUCUUUAUCAGAACACGCAAUUAUAGUAGUAACUUUAUUACUAAAGUGUAAAUCUUUAUGAUAAAUAAAUAAAUUACUCUGUGAAGCUUGUUUGAAUUAUUGGCAUAAUAAGUUCCAUAGCAGAAAAAGCUAUUAAUUAUUAAUAUGGGGGGUGGUAAUAAAUUGAAAUGGGUCAUAAAAUUUUUCGAAAUUUGGUGUUGCUUGUUCAAUUUUUCAACACAAGUCAAUAAUAAAAAAAGGUAGGAAAUUAGCUCACUGAAGAGAGAGGGGUAUUUCAACUGGCAAUAUUACCUGUACAUAUAAUGUGACCCUCCUGAAAGUCAAUAUACUAAAUAAAAAUUUGACUACUUAUUUGAAUAAUUAUGGUAUCAAGUUAGCAAUAUCUCUACACUGUCUCAACUUAACAAGGAUUGUCCAGAUUUCAGACAUUUCUAGCCUAGUUAACUAAGUUUUCUUCGAGAUAUUAAAAUUGAGUUUCUUAUUUAAUAAUUUUCCAGUGCAAAACCGAAUUAAAAUCAACCAAUAAACAUAAAGCCAGCAUGACCACAUCUAACAUUAAAGAUUUCUUAAUACUGAUCACGUGAGCAAAAAACAAUAGAAUUUCUUGCCUUAAAGUAUUCACAAAUUUCUUUCAUACAAGACAAAAAAUAUCUUCUGAGCAAUUGUAUUUCAAUUGGCAUAACUGGUAUUUUAUUUAAUAAAGCAUGUUAACAUCAAAGAUAAAUGUAUCAUAAAUGUAAAAAACAACUUUUUAAGACAAAGCAUUCUUACUACUAAGUGAGCACACAACACUAUUCUUCUUGCUUUAAAAAAUAAGAUUAAAAUAAUUCGUUAACAAAAUUCAAUCUAGCUCAGGCUACAAAAAGUUAAUUAUAUGCUUAACUCAGAUAUC